rnacentral:rRNA from 1 species
GAGUUUGAUCCUGGCUCAGGAUGAACGCUGGCGGCGUGCCUAACACAUGCAAGUUGAACGAAGACAUACCGACGGAAUCCUUCGGGAGGAAGAUGGUAUGGACUGAGUGGCGGACGGGUGAGUAACGCGUGGGUAACCUGCCCUGUACAGGGGGACAACAGUUAGAAAUGACUGCUAAUACCGCAUAAGCGCACAGUACCGCAUGGUACAGUGUGAAAAACUCCGGUGGUACAGGAUGGGCCCGCGUCUGAUUAGUUAGUUGGCGGGGUAACGGCCUACCAAGCCGACGAUCAGUAGCCGACCUGAGAGGGUGACCGGCCACAUUGGGACUGAGACACGGCCCAAACUCCUACGGGAGGCAGCAGUGGGGAAUAUUGCACAAUGGGGGAAACCCUGAUGCAGCGACGCCGCGUGAGCGAUGAAGUAUUUCGGUAUGUAAACUUCUAUCAGCAGGGAAGAAAAUGACGGUACCUGACUAAGAAGCCCCGGCUAACUACGUGCCAGCAGCCGCGGUAAUUC